rnacentral:miRNA from 1 species
ACAGGGUUAGAGCUUCAGGUACC